rnacentral:rRNA from 1 species
GACGAACGCUGGCGGCGUGCUUAACACAUGCAAGUCGAGCGGAAAGGCUCCUUCGGGGGUACUCGAGCGGCGAACGGGUGAGUAACACGUGAGUAAUCUGCCCUGCGCUCUGGGAUAGCCACCGGAAACGGUGAUUAAUACCGGAUAUGACCGCUACACGCAUGUGUUGGUGGUGGAAAGUUUUUCGGCGCAGGAUGUGCUCGCGGCCUAUCAGCUUGUUGGUGAGGUAAUGGCUCACCAAGGCUUUGACGGGUAGCCGGCCUGGGAGGGUGACCGGUCAGACUGGGACUGGGACACGGCCGAGACUCCUACGGGAGGCAGCAGUGGGGAAUAUUGGACAAUGGGCGGAAGCCUGAUCCAGCAACGCCGCGUGAGGGAUGACGGCCUUCGGGUUGUAAACCUCUUUCAGUACCGACGAAGCGAAAGUGACGGUAGGUACAGAAGAAGGACCGGCCAACUACGUGCCAGCCGCCGCAGUAACAC